CACAUCCAAGAACCAGUUCUCCCUGCAGCUGACAUCCAUGACCCCCGAGGACACAGCUGUGUAUUACUGUGCAAGAGACACAGGUUGGGGUGACUUUAACU